GGGCUGGGGCUCAGUGGUAGAGCGCUUGCCUAGCAUGUGUGAGGCCCUGGGUUCAAUUCUCAGCACCACA
rnacentral:tRNA from 1 species